ensembl:snoRNA SNORD24 Small nucleolar RNA SNORD24
UGCAGAUGAUGCAAAAGAAUAUUUGCUAUCUGAGUGAUGGUGCUGACAUCUGUAUCCACCAAGAUCGCUGAUGCA